UCGAGGAUCUUCGGCAAUGGGCGCAAGCCUGACCGAGCGACGCCGCGUGUGCGACGAAGGCCUUCGGGUUGUAAAGCACUGUCGAGGGGAAGGAAAGCCGCAAGGCCUGACCGACCCCUGGAGGAAGCACGGGCUAAGUUCGUGCCAGCAGCCGCGGUAAGACGAACCGUGCGAACGUUGUUCGGAUUCACUGGGCUUAAAGGGCGCGUAGGCGGGUGUCCAAGUCUGGGGUGAAAUCCUUCGGCCCAACCGGAGAACAGCCUCGGAUACUGGACGUCUCGAGGGGGGUAGGGGCACGCGGAACUUCCGGUGGAGCGGUGAAAUGCGUAGAUAUCGGAAGGAACGCCGGUGGCGAAAGCGGCGUGCUGGACCCCUUCUGACGCUGAGGCGCGAAAGCCAGGGGAGCGAACGG
rnacentral:rRNA from 1 species